GUGUCUGUAGCCUAGUUGGUAAAGGAAGCACUCUGGUAUGUGAGUCAGCAAAACUGAGGUCAUGAGUUUGAAUCUCACCAGGCACA
rfam:Puccinia graminis f. sp. tritici CRL 75-36-700-3 supercont2.114 genomic scaffold, whole genome shotgun sequence.